rnacentral:rRNA from 1 species
UACGUAGGUCCCGAGCGUUGUCCGGAUUUAUUGGGCGUAAAGCGAGCGCAGGUGGUUUAUUAAGUCUUGUGUAAAAGGCAGUGGCUCAACCAUUGUAUGCAUUGGAAACUGGUAGACUUGAGUGCAGGAGAGGGGAGUGGAAUUCCAUGUGUAGCGGUGAAAUGCGUAGAUAUAUGGAGGAACACCGGUGGCGAAAGCGGCUCUCUUGCCUGUAACUGACACUGAGGCUCGAAAGCGUGGGGAGCAAACAGG